UAGGGAAUAUUGCGCAAUGGAGGAAACUCUGACGCAGCGACGCCGCGUGGGUGAUGAAGGCUUUCGGGUCGUAAAGCCCUGUCGACAGGGACGAAAGACGUAAUGGCUAACAUCCAUUACGAGUGACGGUACCUGUAGAGGAAGCACCGGCUAACUACGUGCCAGCAGCCGCGGUAAUACGUAGGGUGCUAGCGUUGUUCGGAAUCAUUGGGCGUAAAGCGCGUGUAGGCGGUCAGACAAGUCGAAUGUGAAAUCCCUGGGCUCAACCGAGGAAGUGCAUACGAAACUGCCUGGCUAGAAGACGGUAGAGGAAGGUGGAAUUCCUAGUGUAGAGGUGAAAUUCGUAGAUAUUAGGAGGAAUACCGGUGGCGAAGGCGGCCUUCUGGGCCGAUCUUGACGCUGAGACGCGAAAGCGUGGGGAGCAAACAGGAUUAGAUACCCGCGUAGUCC
rnacentral:rRNA from 1 species